CGGGGGCAGAAGGCCAGUUCAACUCACACGUCCCCACAGCUUCAGGCACCUGGAUGGUGGACAGGGAGUUUGUAUCUCAUUGUAGGAGGAGAGGCUAAAUGUGUUCCUGUCCUCUGCUCUCCACUCACACCAGCUCAGAGUACCUUGUGCCUGGGCAGGUUGGCUCACAUGUGACAGCUCAUGUAAAUUCAUCAAGGCCUGGUGUAUUUUUGGAAUUUUAUUUCUUUUCUUUCUUUUUUUUUUUUUUUUUAAAGAUUUUAUUAUUUCCUUUUUCUCCCCAAAGCCCCCCGGUACAUAGUUGUAUAUUCUUCGUUGUGGGUUCUUCUAGUUGUGGCAUGUGGGACGCUGCCUCAGCAUGGUCUGAUGAGCACUGCCAUGUCCGCGCCCAGGAUUCGAACCAACGAAACACUGGGCUGCCUGCAGCGGAGCGCGCGAACUUAACCACUCAGCCACGGGGCCAGCCCCUUUAUUUCUUUUUUUUAAUUACAUUUUUUUUUUUUUUUUUUUAAGAUUGGCACCUGAGCUAACAACUGUUGCCAAUCUUCUUUUUUUUUCUUCUCCCCAAAGCCCCCCAGUACAUAGUUGUAUAUUCUAUUUGUGAGUACCUCUGGCUGUGCUAUGUGGGACGCCGCCUCAGUAUGACCUGAUGAACGGUGCCAUCUCUGCACCCAGGAUCUGAACUGGCGAAAUCCUGGGUCGCUGAAGCAGAGCGCGUGAACUUAACCACUCGGCCAUGGGGCCAGCCCCAAGGAAUUUUAUUUCUUAAACAUUCUCUUGAAACUAUGUAGCAACUGUUGUAUAAUUUUCUCUCUUUAUUUUAUAUUUGAGUCAGUUUUGAUAAUUACAUUUUCAUUUUUUAAAAUUUACAAUGCUGUGUCUCUUAGAUUCUGAAGCAUUUCCAGUCCUUUCAGUCCUUCAUGCUUUUCCCAAAUGUUCCUGCCGUUUGAUGAUUCCUCGUCAGGAAGCUCUGAAGUUCCUCUUAGCUUGCCGAUUAUUGAUGGUGGCGGAGACACAAGUUUGAUGAGGCAGAAGCUUAGGCAAUUUGAUUGCCAGCCUUCUGCUGCACCACUCUCAACCCACAGAUGUCAUGCUUCUCUGCUUACCCCCUAACCUUAAGUCAGAAUUCCUCUUCCUCCCCAGGGCUGUCUCCAAUCUCAUGUUAAUAUUGUUACUGUUCUAUGAAGCAUUUAAUGAUGUGUUCAUAUGAACAAGCAUUUGGUUCUUGAAUCAAAGAAUCAUUUCCAAAACCUACUUUGAAUGUGACCUGCUUUUCCAUUCAUUAUACUUUCCUUUGUAAACUGAAUAAUUUUUCUCCACAUGUGUGAGAGAGAGCAAGUCUGUAGCAACACUUACAGGAACACAACAGUCAAUUUCUGCCCAGAUUGGAAGACUGCUAGAACUGUACAAAUUUCCACAGGUAAGGCUGGAUGCUAUGGGGAGCGAUGAAACAAUGUCUCCUUUGGUGCCAUUCGCAGGUGCCUAAAAAGGAUGAAAAGCAGAGACUGGGUUUAUGCCUCUCUCAAAGGAUAUAAUCUCAAAGAGCAAGUGCACAGAGUGUUGACGGGGUAUGCACAUUUUCUUUGUUUGGCAGUCCUUGGUGCUAUGAUUUCACCUGCGUCCAUGGAUAGCAAGGUCCCAGGGACUGCCUCCUUUUACGCAAAUUGAGUCCCAAGCCUGUGUCAAC
ensembl:lncRNA